AACAUGACAGCCAGACCAAAGCUCAGAGCCCCGAGCAGCAGCAGAGACCAGACUGUCCUGAACCUGAACCCAGCUGUGUGUCCAUGAAGAGUGACAGGUCCAUGAUUGCACCAAUAGAUUUUAAAGGACGACUUCCUCCAGAGACUCAGUAAGUCAACACAGUCCCAGUUAGCAGGAACUUUCCCAUAACUUCCUGUGAUCCUGGCUGCUUCAGAUUCUUCUUCAUUGACUUCAUAUUUCUUCAUAUUUACUCAGGAGCUGCAUGAGAGCAGGUAGAGACCAUCAUGGAUUUGUUCUGCCCCCCCACAUGCUGUCCCUUCACUUUGAUUGUUCCUUCUAAUCAACUCAUCAAGUGAACAAAAUAGACGAGUCCUGCAUGAAGGCUUGCAAAUCCUCAUGAGACAGAGGAGCGUCCCCUCCUGUCCUGCUGUCCUCCUGCCUUUGUCGUGUCUCCCUGGAGAGCUCCUGUUCCCUCCUCUUCCUCUCUCUGACCUUCACUGAGAUGCUCACAUCUCCAGGAGUCGGCAGAGCUUUGAAUGUUUUGUCUCCAGCUUGACCAUCAAAGUGAAGGUUUGAGAGGCGCAUUAGUUUGUCUGUGU